UAACACAGUAAAGGAGUUUAAGCAUGCGUGGGAUAGGCAUAAGGCUAUCCUAACUAUAAGAUAAGGCCAGGGACUAAUGAAAGUAUUUAGAAAAUUGGGCAGACUAGAUGGGCCGAAUGAUUCUUAUCUGCCGUCACAUUCUAUGUUUCUAUGUUUCUAUAUCACAGUAUAAUUCAACAUCUCCAAGCUAGGAAAGCCUCAUUUCAUAGUAAUUAUGUAAAGUAGAAACAUGCUAAACUGUUGCAUAACAUAGGUAUAGCUUAU